rnacentral:rRNA from 1 species
UACGAAGGGGGCGAGCGUUGUUCGGAAUUAUUGGGCGUAAAGGGCGCGUAGGCGGUGCGGUAAGUCCGCAGUGAAAUCUCUGGGCUCAACUCAGAGUCUGUUGUGGAAACUGCCGUGCUUGAGUGUGGGAGAGGUGAGUGGAAUUCCCGGUGUAGCGGUGAAAUGCGUAGAUAUGGGGGAGGAACACCGGUGGCGAAGGCGGCCAUCUGGACGGAUACUGACGCUGAGACGCGAAAGCGUGGGGAGCAAACAGG